rnacentral:lncRNA from 1 species
GAAAUAAAUAUCUUUUUUUUUUUUUACAGAUAGCAUAAUUAUUUGUGUAAUGAAUCACAAGGAGUGUCCACAAAGGUCAUAAAAUUGAAAACUAAAUUAACCUGGUUACAGGAUAAAGAUAAAUAUACAAAUUCAUUUACAUUUAUUUAUAAUGACAAUAACCAGAAAUAAACAUUUUAAAAUAUCAUUUAAAGGGAAUAAGAAUGUAACUCAAUAACAACAUGUGUCAAGGGCAUGUGUUGGAACUCCAGCACCAAAAAGAAAAUAAUUAUAAAACUAUCAAAAAUAGAACAAACAAAAAAUAAUAAAUUAGGACAAAGAUGAUUAAUGUCUGUCCCCUGAAAACAAAGUACUGAGAAGGUCAUGCCUGGAGCCCAGGUCAGGCUCUUGUGCAUAUGAUCCACGGAUGCAGUUCCCUGUUAAGAGUUCUAGAGAUGGGAAGAAAGAGAGGGAGGGAAAUGGAAGGAGAGAAUGGAGACAGAGGCAAGAGAAACUAAUUGAUUAGGAAAAUUGACCUACGUGAUUAUGGGGUCCAAGAAAGCACACCAUCUGUGCCUUUAUUGCAGGUAGAUCCCAUUUGCUGGCCUUGCUGCUGGUCUUCUCUGGAAGCAGUGUCUCAGACAUACCCCAGUCCCUUCUCUGCCAGUUGUCUCCACCUUCAUUUAUCCUGCCAGGGUGACACUGAAAAUUAUCUGCCACAAUUACUACCUUAGUCAAAAUCUUAGUGUACUUCUUUGUAAUACUUAAUAAGGUUUCUAUAACACAUACCUAAAAAUAGAAGGGACUCAAAAUAGGAAUUUCGACAAAACCAAAUUGAGGACAAACUGUUUGAUUUUAACUCACUAGCCAAAGCAGUGUAAUGUUGCCAUAAAGAUGAACUAUGGAGAUGGAAAGGAGUCUGUAAAUAGAUUACUACAGGUUACUAAAGAUGAUUUUUGGAAAACUUAACAGUGACAGUCAAUUAGAAAAUAAUCUUUUUUUGGCUGGAAAGAUGGCUCAGUGUGUUUAAGAGCACUCGUCGCUCUUCUGAAGGUCCUGAGUUCAAUUUCCAGCACCCACAUGGCAUCUCAUAACUGUUGUUGCAGCUGUCAUCAUCAUAAGCAUAAACAUAAAAGGAAGGACUAAAAUAUUAAAAGUUUCAUUGGAAAGCUGGAAGAGAAUCUAGUCACACUGGGCUAGGCAAAGAUUUCUUUUAAAGAAAAUGGAAAAGUAAUAAUUUAAAUUUUAUCAAAAUUAAAUCUU